CACAUGCAAGUCGAGCGGCAGCGGGAAGUAGUUUACUACUUUGCCGGCGAGCGGCGGACGGGUGAGUAAUGUCUGGGAAACUGCCUGAUGGAGGGGGAUAACUACUGGAAACGGUAGCUAAUACCGCAUGACCUCGCAAGAGCAAAGUGGGGGACCUUCGGGCCUCACGCCAUCGGAUGUGCCCAGAUGGGAUUAGCUAGUAGGUGGGGUAAUGGCUCACCUAGGCGACGAUCCCUAGCUGGUCUGAGAGGAUGACCAGCCACACUGGAACUGAGACACGGUCCAGACUCCUACGGGAGGCAGCAGUGGGGAAUAUUGCACAAUGGGCGCAAGCCUGAUGCAGCCAUGCCGCGUGUGUGAAGAAGGCCUUCGGGUUGUAAAGCACUUUCAGCGAGGAGGAAGGCAGUCGUGUUAAUAGCACGAUUGAUUGACGUUACU
rnacentral:rRNA from 1 species